rnacentral:rRNA from 1 species
CCUACGGGAGGCAGCAGUAGGGAAUCUUCCACAAUGGGCGAAAGCCUGAUGGAGCAACGCCGCGUGGGUGAAGAAGGUCUUCGGAUCGUAAAACCCUGUUGUUAGAGAAGAAAGUGCGUGAGAGUAACUGUUCACGUUUCGACGGUAUCUAACCAGAAAGCCACGGCUAACUACGUGCCAGCAGCCGCGGUAAUACGUAGGUGGCAAGCGUUAUCCGGAUUUAUUGGGCGUAAAGGGAACGCAGGCGGUCUUUUAAGUCUGAUGGGAAAGCCUUCGGCUUAACCGGAGUAGUGCAUUGGAAACUGGGAGACUUGAGUGCAGAAGAGGAGAGUGGAACUCAAUGGGUAGCGGUGAAAUGCGUAGAUAUAUGGAAGAACACCAGUGGCGAAAGCGGCUCUCUGGUCUGUAACUGACGCUGAGGUUCGAAAGCGUGGGUAGCAAACAGGAUUAGAUACCCGAGUAGUC